UUUGUGCGUGAAACAAAUUAAAAUUUAAAUAAAUUUAAUAAAUUAAAAUUUAGUUGUUUAUAUUUUAUUGGACCUCCCUGGUACAUUCAUAUGACAAUAAUAGACCUGUGUACAAAGUCUUCAGACGAAUUGAGGGAGUUGGAGAUUUUAUACCCUCCAUUGAAAUUAAUAGUAUUUAAAAUUUCAUAUAUUCGAAGAACAAAAAAGCAGAAUAUGUCCAUCAUAUAGAGAAAUACAGGUGUAGAUAUUGAGAUCAGAUCAACAUCAUGGCUAUUAUAUUCGAUUUCUUCAUCCAGCGUGAAAAACAACAUAAGGAAGAACUGAAGAUAGUCGCUGCGACGCUUCGAGACUGAAUCGAGCCAACUUGGCCAAUCAGCAUUAACUCAAUACACAUCCGAAUGCCCGGCAGUUGUGGAGUAACGUUAUAUGUAGCAGAGAUAGACAACAGCAAAGGAAAGUAACUAAAUUCAGACGUUUUCAAUAUGAAAACCAUAUGAGCAUUGCUUUCCAAUCAAAACUUCUACGUCCCCGAUAUAGCAGUGGUUAAGGAAGGAAUGCGUCUGGUGACGUUUUAACUUGGUCGAUGGUUCUCAUCUUCGUAUCGAAAAAACUAACAUCAAUGGAAACCGAUUCGCUAUGCCGUAAUCUUUGCUAAACACACUUAGUAAGAGGGCUUUUAAUUUCUGCCGAAAAAACAACUAGAAGUCGGUAGAACUCUCGUCAUUAUUCAAACAGAUGUUAUAGUUUUUUUCGAUCCAUCUCUUAAGAUACUCAACAUCUACUCUACGAAAAAUUUUCCUGAGGUUACUUAGAGUCAGUAAAGUCUUUUAAAAUCAUUGCCAGGAACAAGGAAGGGUUAGAAAGUGCGAGACCACUUUGGAAGUUCAACGUAGCCACAUGAUGAUGGUAUCGCAGCUCCCGUCAACUACGAACUGUCGAUUAUUGAAAGCAGAACGAUUUUCAUGCGAUUGGAUUACCGGUAACGAAACACGGAUACGCCAUAACACAUCAAAGACUAAACAGCCAUCGACACAUUGAAUAUAUUCGGGUUAAUCGCUGACGCAGAAGCUCAAGGGUUCUUUUGUGGGCUAAUAAGAUGACGACAACAGUUUUUUGGGAUACUCGUGUUAUAAACCACAUGUGGACUACCUCGAAAAUGAAGAGAGACAGCCGACGAAUAUAAUGUUUAUUUGUUUGACUUAACUGGUUUAAAGAAAUAUCGGGCAACAAAUGGAUACACCAUCAUCUAUGUUCACCAGAUUCAGUCGGCAGUGUUUUUUUUUCUUUCUCAAAACUAAAGCAGGAAGGGAUAUGACUACAAUAAUGAAAUGAAAAUUGAAAAUAUGCUGGAUGUAGUAUACAGAACUACAGAACAGUAUACAGAAAUAGAAAGAAACUUUUUUCGCCGGUAAAACUAUUCUUAAAUCACACAUUCUUGGGCUUAUUGAGCCACCCUUGCAUGGAGAUCAAGAGAAAAUUUUUCCGUCGAUAAAAGAUCUUUCUGUGCCAAAUUAUUGGGCUUACUGAGAUACCCUUGUAUGAAGAGUAUUAGGAUUUAAAAUGGGAAUCCGCAGCAACUAUUAUGCGUAUAAUUUUGACUUCGGGUUCAUGAAAAAAACCCGAAAACUCAGGAUACCAAACGAAAUUUAAGUUAUUUUAUUUUAAGGGUGGACCUUUUUUAAAGUCAAUAAAAUUUGUAGAUCAGAAUAGAAAAAAAAAAUUGUAAUAGUUAAAUUUUACCAAGCCUUAAUUGCAGUUUAUGCCUAUUGGAAAAAGGAGUUUGCCAUUCGAAAGGGGUAGUUGCCCAUAUUUAGUACAAGUAAGCGAGUGUAAAAAAAGCAAAAGCAAAAAAAUAAACAUUGCCGAUCACCUCAUGUUUAAACUCUUAGAAAUUAGCGAAAUUCUUAACUGCAGUUAAGCUUUUGGCGGAAAUGAACUAUUCGAUUCUUUUAAAUAACUACAACGUUUUCCCAGUGGAAUGUAGAAAAUUUCUUUUCGAAGAAAAUGAAUUAAAAUGGAAAGACAUGAAUAUACAUAGAGUAACGAAGAGUUAAUAAAUAGGCCGACUAUUCUAAAGCCCUCCAAAGAUAUAGAUAGUUC